rnacentral:rRNA from 1 species
ACGGGAGGCAGCAGUGAGGAAUAUUGGUCAAUGGACGAGAGUCUGAACCAGCCAAGUAGCGUGCAGGAUGACGGCCCUAUGGGUUGUAAACUGCUUUUGUACGGGAAUAAAGUGACCUACGUGUAGGUUUUUGCAUGUACCGUAAGAAUAAGGACCGGCUAAUUCCGUGCCAGCAGCCGCGGUAAUACGGAAGGUCCGGGCGUUAUCCGGAUUUAUUGGGUUUAAAGGGAGCGUAGGCGGCCGGUUAAGUCUGCGGUCAAAUGUCAGGGCCCAACCUUGGCAUGCCGUGGAUACUGUCCGGCUUGAGUGCACACAAGGAAGGUGGAAUUCGUCGUGUAGCGGUGAAAUGCUUAGAUAUGACGAAGAACUCCGAUUGCGAAGGCAGCCUUCUGGGGUGUUACUGACGCUGAGGCUCGAAAGUGCGGGAAUCAAACAGGAUUAGAUACCCUGGUA